GCGUCAAUAGUGCAACGGUCAGCAUAAGCUCCCGGAGAGAGUGAGGCAGGGUUCGAAUCCCGGCUGAUGCA